rnacentral:rRNA from 1 species
UACAGAGGUCUCAAGCGUUGUUCGGAUUCAUUGGGCGUAAAGGGUGCGUAGGCGGCGCGGUAAGUCGGGUGUGAAAUCUCGGAGCUUAACUCCGAAACUGCAUUCGAUACUGCCGUGCUUGAGGACUGGAGAGGAGACUGGAAUUUACGGUGUAGCGGUGAAAUGCGUAGAUAUCGUAAGGAAGACCAGUGGCGAAGGCGGGUCUCUGGACUAACACUGACGCUCAGGCACGAAAGCGUGGGGAGCAAACAGG